rnacentral:tRNA from 1 species
CACUCGAUGACUGAAAAUAAGUGUAGGUCUUUUAAACCUAUUAUAGUAUAACCUACUUCUGGUGCUUAU